rnacentral:rRNA from 1 species
CCUACGGGUGGCAGCAGUCGGGAAUUUUGGGCAAUGGGCGAAAGCCUGACCCAGCAACGCCGCGUGAAGGAUGAAGUAUUUCGGUAUGUAAACUUCGAAAGAAUAGGAAGAAUUAAUGACGGUACUAUUUAUAAGGUCCGGCUAACUACGUGCCAGCAGCCGCGGUAAUACGUAGGGACCAAGCGUUGUUCGGAUUUACUGGGCGUAAAGGGCGCGUAGGCGGUGCGGUAAGUCACUUGUGAAAUCUCUGAGCUUAACUCAGAACGGCCAAGUGAUACUGCAGUACUAGAGUGCAGAAGGGGCAAUCAGAAUUCUUGGUGUAGCGGUGAAAUGCGUAGAUAUCAAGAGGAAUACCUGAGGUGAAGACGGGUUGCUAGGCUGACACUGACGCUGAGGCGCGAAAGCUAGGGGAGCAAACGGGAUUAGAUACCCCGGUAGUC